AGAAGUGUGUUUUCCUUCACUUCAGGAUUUCUAAAUGAGGGAAGGUGUGGGAACAGAACUGGAUCACAGAGGCUCCAACAAGCUGCAUCCCCCUCUCCACACCCCUAGGUCCCAAGACUCCUGAGGCACACAUCAGACUCCCAAAGUCAGGAAGUGGGGAUGUGAGCAGCACCAUAUGGCAGUGACAGCACCUUCUGCAAGAAGAGAAACUCUAAACCAAUUACAACAAUAUCAUUUCUGUGUUGAACCAUAAGUCAUUGGAAACCCACUGCAACCAUGCUUCCAUAAUAGCAGCUGGAAUCUCCAAUUCUACAGAGAAAAGGAAUGUUGAAGUAACAUACAUGUAGCUUUGAGGAGGAGGCACGUGCAUUCAAGCUCAUGGAGAGGAUUGACAGCCACAGACAGGCACUCAUAAGAACUGAAUGUAAAUCAUCAAAGAGAAUAUACUCAGGAGGCACUGUCUACCAUAGGAUGGAAUGCAGUCGUGCAAUCCUAGCUAACAUAACCUCCAACUCCUGGGCUUGGGAUCUUCCACGUCAGCCUCCCAAAUAGCUAGGACUACAGUUGAUGACAUAGAAGACUUAAUUUCCUCCUCAUGAUUAAUCUCUCAGUUGGAGAGUAUACACACUCUUACACAGAAUCCAGUUAUAUUACCUAUACGUAAAAGAGAUGCUCUGCCUGAUUCUCAUCACUGGACUCUGCAGUAGCCUUGAUUAAGAAAAGAUCACUUCAUCACCCUUUACCCAUUUUCUGUUUGAACUUAGCAUAUCAGAUUUGCAGAGAACUGCUAAAGGCAGCAGCCUUUUAAUGAUACUUGGGCAAUACCAUCCCUAGGCACCUGUGUCAGUCACCAGGUCAGGACGAAAGCCCUCAUCAGAUGCUUACAUCAUGAUCUUGGACUUCCCAGCCUCCAGACUGCAGAAGCUUUGGAACUGGAAUGGCUCUUCAGAACUGACCCAGUUGAGACAAGGGGGCUAGAUCUUUGGACUGUGAUCUGACCACUCACUGACUACAGGCUGCUAUCAAAGAGGAGAUGUAAACCUGAUGCUAUGGAAGAUCAGAAAAUAUAAAUUUAUGAACUGCUAUAAACUGUUAUUUUCUUCGUGAAGAUCAGCCUCCAGGUUCAUCACAUGACUCAGCUAAGAGAAAAUAUCCAGUGGCUCAUCGUUACCUGUGGGAGGAGGUCUGAACUCCAUGGCUUUGCAUUCAUGUUCUUGUUUGUCUCACUUCAACCUUCAUUCCCUCCAAGUCCUCGUUGUCCUCCCAGGGUUCCUCUGCUACAGCCGGGGGAGUCUGAUCCCUGCUUCCUAAAUUUCUCUGAAGCUUAUCUACACC
ensembl:lncRNA novel transcript